rnacentral:rRNA from 1 species
GACGAACGCUGGCGGCGUGCUUAACACAUGCAAGUCGAACGGAAAGGCCCUGCUUUUGUGGGGUGCUCGAGUGGCGAACGGGUGAGUAACACGUGAGUAACCUGCCCUUGACUUUGGGAUAACUUCAGGAAACUGGGGCUAAUACCGGAUAGGAGCUCCUGCUGCAUGGUGGGGGUUGGAAAGUUUCGGCGGUUGGGGAUGGACUCGCGGCUUAUCAGCUUGUUGGUGGGGUAGUGGCUUACCAAGGCUUUGCCGGGUAGCCGGCCUGAGAGGGUGACCGGCCACAUUGGGACGAAGAUACGGCACAGACUCCUACGGGAGGCAGCAGUGGGGAAUAUUGCACAAUGGGCGGAAGCCUGAUGCAGCAACGCCGCGUGCGGGAUGACGGCCUUCGGGUUGUAAACCGCUUUCGCCUGUGACGAAGCGUGAGUGACGGUAAUGGGUAAAGAAGCACCGGCUAACUACGUG